rnacentral:tRNA from 1 species
GCCCUUAUAGCUCAGUUGGUAGAGCACCUGAUUUGUAAGUCAGGGGGGGGUCGGGAGUUCGAGUCUCUCUGGGGGGG